UUGCACUAUCUUAAGAAGUUCUUUAAAAACACAAAUCGAAUCGCAUUUCUCCCAGAGAAUCAAAUCAAAGAAGAAAAUGAACUUGAACACAAGCAGUGAGGUUGAAACUCAUACCAAGCUUGACGAACUCUGUAACUUCGACAAAAAAUGCCUCUUUGAUCUCGGCCAUCCUCUCGUUAACCGCAUCGCCGAAAGCUUCGUCAAAGCUGCCGGAAUCGGAGUCGUUCAAGCCGUUUCUCGCAAUGCUUAUUUCUCAGCCAUUGACGGUACCAGAACCGAUAACAAUGGCGUUAAAGCUUCUUCGGAUGGAUCAGCCGCUGGAAAACGCCGUUUGCUGGGACUUAGAGGAGAGACCAGUAACAAAUCUCUUGAGGCUAUGGUGAUUAAUGCUGGGAAAGAGUCCUUACAAUGGGGAGUGGCUGCAGGAUUAUAUUCAGGUCUAACAUAUGGGUUGAAGGAGGCUCGCGGAGCUCAUGACUGGUCCUUUUUGUGGAUCCUUAUAAAUGAACACUUCAUGCAUCAAUGCAUGAUUUUAAUGGAUGUGGCAGAACAAUUUCGCUCGGGUAUAUGUUACUUCUGUCCAUUUUAAUGUGCUGCUGUUUCGAUCUUGUCAAUUACAUGGUCCCUUCUUGUGCAGCUGUUUCGAAUUAGGAUUGCUCGGGAAAAUCUUGGUCGCAUUCGUAAGACUCUCGCUGACUUCACCAGCUUGAAUCACUGAGUAGUUAACAUACUACUUCUGUCGGGUGGACUCCAUCAAUGCUUUCGAGCCUGAUGGUUACAAA